GAUGAACGCUGGCGGCGUGCCUAAUACAUGCAAGUCGAGCGAACAGACGAGGGGCUUGCUCCUCUGACGUUAGCGGCGGACGGGUGAGUAACACGUGGAUAACCUACCUAUAAGACUGGGAUAACUUCGGGAAACCGGAGCUAAUACUGGAUAAUAUAUUGAACCGCAUGGUUCAAUAGUGAAAGACGGUUUUGCUGUCACUUAUAGAUGGAUCCGCGCCGCAUUAGCUAGUUGGUAAGGUAACGGCUUACCAAGGCAACGAUGCGUAGCCGACCUGAGAGGGUGAUCGGCCACACUGGAACUGAGACACGGUCCAGACUCCUACGGGAGGCAGCAGUAGGGAAUCUUCCGCAAUGGGCGAAAGCCUGACGGAGCAACGCCGCGUGAGUGAUGAAGGUCUUCGGAUCGUAAAACUCUGUUAUUAGGGAAGAACAAAUGUGUAAGUAACUAUGCACGUCUUGACGGUACCUAAUCAGAAAGCCACGGCUAACUACGUG
rnacentral:rRNA from 1 species